AUGGCACUGGGUGUACGGGUCUUUGUUAGCCGUCACGUUAAGCACAAUGCAGUUUCUCUUAAGACUCAAAAGGAAGCAGGUACAGAGCACUUCAACUGUGCCAGAAGGGGACGAGCCGAGUGGUGUUGCGGGUCACUGUAUCAAACCCAGGGUCAGGUCACUGUGGAUACCCUGGGUCGGGUCACUGUGGAUACCCUGGGUCAGGUCACUGUAUCAAACCCAGGGUCAGGUCACUGUGGAUACCCUGGGUCGGGUCACUGUAUCAAACCCAGGUCAGGUCACUGUGGAUACCCUGGGUCGGGUCACUGUGGAUACCCUGGGUCGGGUCACUGUAUCAACCAGGGUCGGUCACUGGGAUCCCGGGUCGGGUCACUGUGGAUACCCUGGGUCGGGUCACUGUGGAUACCCUGGGUCGGGUCACUGUGGAUACCCUGGGUCGGUCACUGUGGAUACCCUGGGUCGGUCACUGUGGAACCCGGGUCAGGUCACUGUGGUACCCUGGGUCAGGUCACUGUGGAUACCCUGGGUCGGGUCACUGUGGAUACCUGGGUCGGGGUCACUGUGGAUACCCUGGGUCGGGUCACUGUGGAUACCCGGGGUCGGGUCACUGUGGAUACCCUGGGGUGGGUCACUGUUGGAUACCCUGGGUCGGGUCACUGUGGAUACCGGGUAGGUCACUGUGGAACCCUGGUCGGGUCACUGUGGAUACCCUGGGUCGGGUCACUUGGAUACCUGGGUCGGGUCAUGUGUGAUACCCUGGGUCGGGUCACUGUGGAUACCCUGGUCAGGUCACUGUGGAUACCCUGGGUCAGGUCACUGUGGAUACCCUGGGUCAGGUCACUGUGGAUACCCUGGGUCAGGUCACUGUGGAUACCCUGGGUCAGGCCACACACACAGUUUCAACUGGAAAGCCACAAUAAAUAACAAUAAAUAAAUAAAUACAGAGCAAUGAAGAGAUCAAGGUCUCUCCCUCCUUCCCUCUUGGUCUCUCGUUUUCUCUCGCUCUUUUUGCAAUCAACACAAAACGAGGAGUGCAUGAUCAGAAGACAUUCUGAAGAAGGAAACUUUGGAAAGGAAUUGUCCCCUGUCGAUGUCAAAAAGUAAACGCUAAAGCAACAAACACACCUCUCAUUAAUAAUCAUCCAAUGACCCUGCAGAUGUAGUCUAGUUUUGGUCAGUCAUUUUUCACAGAGCACUAGACUGCCCUACCAAGCAAAAAGGCAGUAACUGCUCAUUUGGUCAAAAAUUGGUUAAUGUCAUUUUUGCUAAUAUAAAUACAUGCUUAAUCAUGAGGACAAGUAUCCUGCCUCUUUUGUAUUGUAUUCUGGAGAAAAUGGGGGUCAUGUUAGCAGUAACUGCAUAAAGUUACUGUGAAACCAAGGUAAAUGAAAUACAUUUUUCUCAGUUCCACUCUAUGAGCAGUCACUGCCAUUUUGCUUGGUAGGGCAGUAGAGCCCCACAGAGACUCUGACCUAUGGAAGCAGUCUCCAACCCUUCUAGCAGUCUGCAGCAGAGAACCGGGCAAAUGAAGACAGGUCUUUUAACCAAACCUUGGCUCUAAAAUCCCAGGAUACCCUUAGAGCCAUCCCACUGGGKACAGACAUCAAUUCAAUGUCUAUUCCAUGUUGGUUUAAUGUCAUUUCAUUGAAAUGGAGUGGAACCAACAAUGAUUCAACCAGUGCGUGCCCAUUGGGAUCUCAAUCUAUAGCUCUGGUYCUCCUGUGCUUGAUCAAACUGAUUGAUUAGGAAGAAAUAAACUGAAAUCUUUGGUAUCAUCGGUGCCUCAUAAAAGGGCAUGAAAAUCUACUUASAACAGACAGCAAAAUAAUAAGCCUUAUUAAAAUAUGACUGUUACUGUUAGAUAAUGGCUAUCUUCAAUAGGAAACCUGUGUGACUUGUUGCCAUUGGCAACUAGCUCCACCAAUAACCACUAGAGGGUAGUAGGGUACACCCAAAGUGAAACAGCAGAUUCCACACCUACUACUAUACUUACCUAACUUAGCAGGUGUAAAACAAACACCUGAGCGGGUCGGAAGGAACCGGAAGCUACCGGUUUUCAGGCUUUGUUGUCUUCUCUGCUUUUCCACUGAAAACCGGAUGAUUCUGGUUUCUUACUACCCCACUGAGAGUGCUAGUAUAGUGACAUGAAGAGUGAUAGGGUUUAGUAGUGCCAGAUGGAUGUUGUACAUACAUUGUUUGAACAUCAAUAACAUUUGAUUGUUAUAUUACUCUAACAGCACUCUGCUCAAAAAUACAUGAUUUCUUUUCUCUUCUUUUUUUUUUUACAUCUGGACACAUCAUUUUUCUCAGCUCCUGACUUCAGUUUGCUUAGUGAGAGAAAAGAACCCCAUAUCCCCAUCAGCACAUCUAUGGGCAAAACAUUCCCUCAAUAAAGCCUCUUUUUAUGUACAGCUAAUAAMAAUAACCACAGCAUGAAAUAAAAUAGAAAUAAUGGAAAAUAGAAAUAAAAGACAACUGAAAUAAAAACAGAGCCAUGAAACAACAAUAACAAAUCAGAAAACCCGUUUUCCAUUAUUCUUUUUGUAUCGUUUAGUCAUUCUCUAUCAUUUAGUCUUUCUCUAAGCGCUUUGUAAGAAGGAGCAGGUCCAGUCACCUGAGUGAGAUCACCAUCCAUACUGUAGGUGACACACACACACACACGCACAAACACAUGCACACAGAUACACAUCCAUGCACACUCUACUCAUCCUCUCUUCUCACUCGUCUUCCUCAUCCUCCUCUGCCUCCUCCUCCCAUCUUGCAUGCUGAAGUGCAGGAGAGUGGCCCCCGCCUGCCUCCUCCCCCUCCACCCCUCUCACCCCCAGCUCCAGGCCUCUCCACAGCAGACCAGGGUAGGGUAACCUGUGAGGCCCUAGGAGGGCUAUAGCUUGCUCCCCGUCAGCCUCCUCCGGGAACACCAUUUGACCUCCAGCCCCAGCCCCAGCCUCCGCUCCAUCCCCCAGGCCAACCAUCCCAGCACGGGGGUGGAAUGCUGAGGCGUGGGGCUGCAGGUCCAGAUUCUCAAGUUGGUCUGGAGAAUCACUCUCCUCACUCCUCUAACCCUUCUGCCCUCUUCCCCGUGGUCAGCCCAGGCCCGCGCCCGGCCGUGCCCGGGUACGGACCUCCAGGCAGCUGAGGCCCUUGCGGUGGCGCUGGAGGUGGUCCUCACGGGCGAAGGCCUUGUGGCAGAGCGGGCACUCGAAGGGCGUGCCCCACUAUGGAGAGACAGGUGGUUUCUUCAGGUCGUAGGAAUGCAGGAAGCGGGCGGGGCAGUGGGGGCAAGGGUACGGGCGCUCCCCUGUGUUUACGCAUGUGGAUCUUCAACUUGUAUCCUUAGAGAGAAAGGAAAGAGGAUAAUGGCUCAGCAUCAUAGUGUAGAACAAUGCUAGCUCUGUAAUCU
ensembl:lncRNA